UGGGGAAUUUUGGACAAUGGGCGAAAGCCUGAUCCAGCAAUGCCGCGUGUGUGAAGAAGGCCUUCGGGUUGUAAAGCACUUUUGUCCGGAAAGAAAUCCUUGGCUCUAAUACAGUCGGGGGAUGACGGUACCGGAAGAAUAAGCACCGGCUAACUACGUGCCAGCAGCCGCGGUAAUACGUAGGGUGCAAGCGUUAAUCGGAAUUACUGGGCGUAAAGCGUGCGCAGGCGGUUUGCUAAGACCGAUGUGAAAUCCCCGGGCUCAACCUGGGAACUGCAUUGGUGACUGGCAGGCUAGAGUAUGGCAGAGGGGGGUAGAAUUCCACGUGUAGCAGUGAAAUGCGUAGAGAUGUGGAGGAAUACCGAUGGCGAAGGCGAGCCCCCUGGGCCAAUACUGACGCUCAUGCACGAAAGCGUGGGGAGCAAAACAGGAUUAGAUACCCUGGUAGUCCACGCCCUAAAACGAUGUCAACUAGUUGUUGGGGGAUUCAUUUCCUUAGUAACGUAGCUAACGCGUGAAGUUGACCGCCUGGGGAGUACGGUCGCAAGAUUAAAACUCAAAGAAUUGACGGGGUCAUAGCUGUUUCCU
rnacentral:rRNA from 1 species